rnacentral:misc_RNA from 1 species
AACGCACAUUGCGCUCUCUGGUAUUCCGGAGAGCAUGCUUGUUUGAGUAUCAGUAAACACCUCAAUUUCACAAUCUUUUUUUUGAAAUUGGACUUGAGCAAAUCCCAACGUAUAUUUUAUUAUAUGGAGGGUUGCUUCAAAUGCAGGUGCAGCCGAUCAUUCUUCUGGGCUAAAAGCAUUAUCUAGUUAAUCCCGUAAAACGGAUUAUUCACUUUAUUUGCUGCGGCUUACCUUUAAAAGGAAGAAAUGGUCAUUGUGCUGACUGAUGCAGGAUUUCUCAGAGCUCCGUAAAACGACCUUUGAAAACUCGAUCUCAAAUCAAGUAAGACUACCCGCUGAACUUAA